AAACAACUCUCAGCAACGGUACGUAGUGUGAAUUGCAGAAUUCCGCGAAUCAUCGAGUCUUUGAACGCAAGUUGCGCCCGAGGCUUGUCCAAGGGCAUUUCCGCUAGAGCGUCACC
rnacentral:rRNA from 1 species